GAUGAACGCUGGCGGCGUGCCUAAUACAUGCAAGUCGAGCGAACAGACGAGGAGCUUGCUCCUCUGACGUUAGCGGCGGACGGGUGAGUAACACGUGGAUAACCUACCUAUAAGACUGGGAUAACUUCGGGAAACCGGAGCUAAUACCGGAUAAUAUAUUGAACCGCAUGGUUCAAUAGUGAAAGACGGUUUUGCUGUAACUUAUAGAUGGAUCCGCGCCGCAUUAGCUAGUUGGUGAGGUAACGGCCUAACAAGGCAACGAUGCGUAGCCGACCUGAGAGGGUGAUAGGCCACCCUGGAACUGAAACGCGGUCCAGACUCCUACGAGAGGCAGCAGUAGGGUAUCUUCCGCAAUGGGCGAAAGCAUGACGGAGCAGCGCGGCGUGAGUGAUGAAGGUCUUCGGAUCGUAAUACUCUGUUAUUAGGGAAGAACACUUGUGUAAGUAACUAUGCACGUCUUGACGGUACCUAGUCAGAAAGCCACGGCUAACUACGUG
rnacentral:rRNA from 1 species